rnacentral:tRNA from 1 species
GCAGUGGUGGUUCAGUGGUAAAAUACACAUCUUUCAUGCAAGAGAUCUGGGUUCAGUUCCCAGCCAAUGCA